GUAGGGGGCCAGCGUUGUUCGGAAUUACUGGGUGUAAAGGGUUCGUAGGCGGUGUGGCAAGUUGGGAGUGAAAUCUCUGGGCUCAACCCAGAGACGGCUUCCAAAACUGCCGUGCUUGAGUGUGGGAGAGGCUCGUGGAAUUGCAGGUGUAGCGGUGAAAUGCGUAGAUAUCUGCAGGAACACCCGUGGCGAAAGCGGCGAGCUGGACCACUACUGACGCUGAAGAACGAAAGCUAGGGGAGCAAACAGGAUUAGAUACCCUGGUAGUCCUAGCCCUAAACGAUCAGGACUUGGGGUGCCACCCGUUCGGGUGGCGUCCCGGAGCUAACGCGUUAAGUCCUGCACCUGGGGAGUACGGUCGCAAGACUG
rnacentral:rRNA from 1 species